AACGAACGCUGGCGGCAGGCUUAACACAUGCAAGUCGAACGCGAAAUCACCUUCGGGUGGUGGAGAGUGGCAGACGGGUGAGUAAUGCGUGGGAAUCUACCUAAUGGUACGGAAUAACUCAGGGAAACUUGAGCUAAUACCGUAUGUGCCCGAAAGGGGAAAGAUUUAUCGCCAUUAGAUGAGCCCGCGUCGGAUUAGCUAGUUGGUGGGGUAAUGGCUCACCAAGGCGACGAUCCGUAGCUGGUCUGAGAGGAUGAUCAGCCACACUGGGACUGAGACACGGCCCAGACUCCUACGGGAGGCGGCAGUGGGGAAUAUUGGACAAUGGGCAAAAGCCUGAUCCAGCCAUGCCGCGUGAGUGAUGAAGGCCCUAGGGUUGUAAAGCUCUUUCGACGGGGACGAUAAUGACGGUACCCGUAGAAGAAGCCCCGGCUAACUUCGUGCCAGCAGCCGCGGU
rnacentral:rRNA from 1 species